rnacentral:sRNA from 3 species
UUGCUAUCUGCGAUAUGGAAGAUUCGAACCUGCCGCAGGUUCGGGUCUCACGCAGUGAGACAACGGAGCCGUUUACGGCGACGGCCCGAAGGGCGAGCAAAGCGAGUCAUCCUGCACGACCCACCA